CACAGGUAACGUCUUAGUGAUAAAGUUUCCCAGAAACUUGUGUGUCAAAAGGUUUACCUCUGAAGGACCCGGUUCAGGGUGUGGGCAGCUUUCUUUGCGUUCAAAGUCCAAUGACGAAAAUAUGACAGCAGACAUUCAAAUGGAAAAAACUGCAGUGAGGAAAAAAAGUACUCGCUGGAACUUAACUUGGAUGGUAGAUGAUGAGGAAACGAUGCCAUAUAGAAAACUAUAUGUCUCUGACGGAUUAUGAAGAAAUUGCAUGACAUGGCUAGAAAAUAAGAUUGGAGUUCACCUUGGCAUGGUAUUCAUAAAAGGGAAGCCCUAAGAUGUCGGACAUUGUAGCUCCAAUGCAAAAUGGUAGAGUUGAAUCGUUUUACCUUUCGUCUGG